AAAAACAGAAAAAAGGGAAAAAAAAGAAAAAAAGCUGGUUUGAAGAUUUUCUUUUUCUUGCUACUAUAUUCUUCCGCAUCUACUGUUGCUUUUGUUGUGGGCAAUAAAAGACUAAGAAGAAGUCUGCAAUUUAAUGAGAACAAGUUUUGGUGCUUCCUUCAUCUGUGCUUUAUCUGUCGCAAGAGUGGAGCUGAUCGUAUAAAGUGAUACUGAACUUUAGCUGCUGCCUUUCUCACAUCUCAAGCUCAGGACGAUUAACUUCUCAUUCACAUUGAGCAAGGAAGUAAGAAUGGACAUUCUCAUUUCUGUUGGUGCAAAAAUAGCGGAACUUACUGUAGAACCCGUUGGAAGGCAAGCGGAAUAUUUAUUAUGCUAUAGAAACAUUCUUAAGGAGCUAAAGGAUCAAGUAGAGGAGCUGAAGACAACGAAAGAACGUAUCGACCAUCAAGUUGACGCUGAAAGAAGAAAUGGAAGGGAGAUAGAAGGUGAUGUGCUAAGAUGGCAAGAAAGUGUUACUAAGACUUUAGAAGAAGCACAGCAACUUUGUGAAGAUUCAGGUGAUGGAAAUGCGGGAUGCUCCAAAUGGUCUUUUCCUAAAUUGAAGUCCCGACAUCAGCAUAGCAGAAAAGCAAAGAAAAUGGCAAAAACCAUUGUUGAAUUGAAAAAAGAGGGGAAUUUUGAUAAAGGAGUUGGGCGUGUUCCACCUUUAG